CCGAAUCAAAGUAUUUCAUCUAAAUUGAAACGGAGGGAGUAGUUAAUAACAACAACAACAACAACAACAACAAUCCAGCAGAAUCCCACUAAUGAGGUCUAGGGAGGAUAAAGUAUAUGCAGAUACUACCCCAACCCCGAGGGAUAGAGAGAAAUGAGUUAAUAAAUAAGCAAAUAAUAAAGAUAUUUAUAUUGUAAGAUAAAUGAAAGAGGAUGUUCUUUGAGUCAAAAUGCCAUUCAGCAUCAAAGUGGAACGGAUUUGACAUCGGAGAGAUAGUGGGCAUGUCUAAUAUUAUAAUUGGAAAGAUAAAAACUCUAUAAAUAAAGGCACUACAAAGGUGCUUUAUCUUCCCAUUUGAUCCUUACAAAUUACAAGAUUUUUGCCUUCUUUUUUUUCCAAGGUUCUCAAAUGGUGAAAAUGACAAAUAAAGGGAAGUGCACUUCAUAAAUCCACGGUCCCAAUAAGUUGUUGGCUGUCAUCCUUACGCCUCAAUAAAUACUCUUAGACAGCUUACCAAAAAGAAAAGGGAAAUUUUUAAAUAUAACAUUUAAUUUAAAAGCAGAAUCUCGAUAUAAUAUACAUACCUCUCAUACUUAUAUAUAUAUCACUGCAAUUACCCUUUUUAUUUUUUUUGAGUUAGACUUGGUCAUUUAGCUACCAGUCCAACUGUAUGAACAAGCUGUUGGCUGGUCUCUUACUAGAGACAUCAUAGUAGAGUCUUUAAUAAUUUAAUUGACAUGGGACCAGUUCUCUCUCUCCUCCCUCAACUAUUUUUAGUAUAAGAUAGUCAUAAUCAUAAUACUAAGUAAAGAUACCUAAGAUUAAUCAAAUACCAACUUGUUCGUGUUUCUAAUCUAACUGCCUCAUAAAGGUUUAGGGAAUAUAUAUAUAUAUUCUCAAGAGCAAGGUGGUAAGUUCUUGGAGGGAAGGAUGCCGGGGGUCUAUUUAGAAACAACCUCUCUACCCCAGGGUAGAGGUAAGGUCUGUGUACAUAUUAUCCUCCCCAUACUCCACUAUGUAGGAUUAUACUGGAUUGUUGUUA
rnacentral:lncRNA from 1 species